AUGACUCGGCGUAGGAACCAAAGAGAUCUGAACCCAUUCCAGCAAUAUCUCCAACAUUGUCACCAACAUUGUCUGCAUUACGGCCGGGUUCCUCGGGUCGUCUUCAGGGAUGUUCCUUUCUACUUUCCCAACAAGAUCAGCACCAACAUCAGCAGCUUUGGUGUAAAUCCCACCGCCUACACGGCCGAAAAGAGCCAUGGAAGAACCGCCAAGACCAUAACCGGUGAUAGCCUCGAAAAGACCCUCCCAGUCAUCGCCAUAAUAAAGCCCAAACAAGUUGAUUGCGACGUAAAGAACAAAAAGGCCACUUGCAGCAAGAAGGAAGCCCAUCACAGCACCAGAGCGGAAAGCAACGAUAAACGCCUUCCCAACACCCUUCCUUGCCUCGAGAGUUGUCCUGGCAUUCGCGUAAGUCGCGAUCUUCAUUCCAAGGAAACCAGACACCAGAGAGGUGACCGCACCCAGCACAAAGGCAAUUGUGCUGAACGCGGCAUUAGCAAGAGCCGGCUUGCAUGUCUUGCCCACGCUGUAAUGGCAAGACCGGUUCUUUUCCGUUCCGUUCCCCCACCUUCAGCGGAGGAUUAG
rnacentral:rRNA from 1 species